rfam:Picea glauca, whole genome shotgun sequence.
AUGUACAUUCCUACAAUAUAGCAUUAAUGCACCAAUCCCAUUAGAACUCCACAGUUAAGCGCGCUCAAGCUAGAGUAGUACUGGGAUGGGUGAUCACCUGGGAAGUCCUAGUGUUUUACAUG